ACACAAAUCGAGAAUGCGACGUCUGGUGGCAGAAAGGUUAAUUACUUAGUGACAGCUGGAAGGUACAAUUUGACGGGACUGCAUUCUUAUAGCUUUUUCGAUUGGACCUAACUCGGCUACACGAGAUCCACUUUGUCUACCUCUGUGUCUCUUGUUCUCGUGCGAUAGUAAAAAGUAAAAAUUUUCACCGAGUUGAGCCGGUUUAGUUCAUCCUCGAGGAAAUAGUGACAUUUCGUGUGUUCAAAAUGGAUUGAGAAUGAUAAAUACUAUGUCCAGAUUUGUUCCCAGAGCAACUGGAGCUGACCAGCACGAGUCGCGAGCUUCCAAACCCAGUGUGACUCCUGAUGCACGAGGGUGAUCAGGGCUGUUUCCACCCUCUGGAUGCCGUAUACCUCUCGGACGGGUCCGCAGACAAGUGCACCCUGACCACCACGGGGUGUCUGAUGAACACUGAAAAGUGCACCGACCACCAGGUCCCCACGGACUCUAGCUGAAGGAUCACCGGUCCUGAGUGAUUGGGAAAUCGUCGUCAAGGACCACCAGCAGGAUACCAGCAAGAUCAUCAUGGUGCUGAGAUUUUUCUCUCCAGGCAUCUUCCCACGGGACUACGUAUCUAUCUUGAGGGAUGAAUGGUGGUCGGGUACCUAUCUAUCCUUGUGGCAGCGCAAGUGACGUAACAUCCGGUCGUAUUCUCCAGCUGAAGUACAGGAUUGUAUCAGUAGAAAAUCCUAAUUUUUAUUUUCGAAUGAUCAAUGCAAAAUUUCGAAAAAAAUUAUAAAAACAAAAUGACGGAACAUAGACUCAUGUUCAAAAGAAACGCAAAACAGAUUCCCUAUAAUAAUUUGUUGCAGGGAUGUGAAUUUUAUCGAUUAUCGUUUGGGUAGCAGAAUAUUUCUAAUACGUAUAGGCUGGAUCAAAGAACGUCAGAAUUAGUAAAACAUUUUCCAAACGGCAAUAAAAAAGAUGAAAGAGGACAAUUCGAAAAGGUCGUAAUUCAAGACUUAUUUGAAUGUUCUACCCAUACAAGAGCCCUGUUAGAGAGAUUUUCAAAGCAUUCCAAAAGCUUUAUGUGAUCCUAUGUAAUCUAACCUACAACUAACUAUACAUGUAUAAUUACAGUAGAGGUACAAUCAUGUAUUUUGAUUCUCUUUGUAUAUUCCCUGAGAUUAGAGACUGUACAUAGUACAGAAUCUAAAUAUGAUUAUUCAGUAGAUCACUUGAAGGUGGUUCUACAAUAGAAAUUAAAUGGACAAGCAAACUUCAGGUGGUACGUUUCUUAUGAAUUACCCUAUAUAUAGGAAACGUCUGUAAAAGCACCGAGGAGAUACUAAUAAAGAGGACCAGCCAUAUGGAAUUGUGUGUGUAUGACUACUAGUGGGCACAGUGGGCAUGGAGGAUAUGUUGAAAUCAUAACAUUUUAAAGGGGAUUGAAAUGCCUCUGAGCCACACAAUAUACAGGGACCUCUUUACCAGUAUCUCCUUCAGUGAUAACAUCCAGUAUAAAUGAUAAAUACUUGACGACGGGUAUCCUGUAAUAAAUAAUUAAAAUAGACCAGUAGACAUACGAAAU